rnacentral:tRNA from 1 species
CUGCGCGUAGCUCAAUUUGGUAGAGCUGCCGGUUAAGGUCCGGACGGUAGGGGGUUCGAUUCCCCCCGCGCCGG